ACUCUGGGCUAGGAAAAAUGGGGCCCAUGAGAUCAGGACUGGGAGAGCUAAGACAGAGCAAAGGUCUUCCCAGUAGCUGUCCAUAACACGCGGACCAAGUUAAUUGCCCUGUUGGAAGAAUUAAGGAAAUGAUAUACUGAAGCAGCUAAUAUAAUGUCUGGCUCAAAAUGGAGAUUGAAAAGAUGUUGGCUCUCUUCUCCUUUCAGAUCAGGAUGGUAGGGGAAGCUUUGGAAGCAGACUUCUGACUACUAGAGAAGAAAACAAAACAAAACAAAACAAAACGGGGAAACACAGAUGUGUGUUUCUGGUGUGCAGAGAAGUUGAAUUUUCCAUUUUGGGGAGAGGCUUUUUUUUUGGUGGGGAGGAGGGAGCAAAGAUGGAGUGCCUACUUUAUUAUUAUUAUUAUUAUUAUCCCUCAGGUUUGCAGGUGAUGGAGAGAAUACCAAGACCUAGGCUCCCCGAUCUCCCUGCAUCCCUGUCAUUUUUGGCAAUGUCGCUAAUCGGCCCAGCAGCCCGAAUCCACACGCCCUGGCGUCCAGGCUCUGCAAGGUGCAGCUGGUCUCAGGCCCUGUCUCAGAAUACAGAAGUAAUCAGAAUUUAUUCACGUGGGCUGACUGAGAGUUUUGACAUCAAAGGGCAAUCCUGUCUGAUUGAUACCACUCAAAUGGCAAUGUUGUUUGAAGAAAUGUAGUUAGAGAGAUGACAAUUUAAAGGCUGUAAGAAGUUACGGGAAAAGUGAGUAUAACAUUCCAUACCGAUUUCUGACGUGUGAUACUACGUGGUGUUGAAUUGCCAGAAACUUGUCAAUUGGGUUUCCCAGAGAUUGAGUAUCUGAAAGGAAAGGGAGGAGGAAACGUGGUUUUCAGGCACCUUACAAACACCACAGUAAACUCUUUUUUUCCCCUGGGCUAGUCAUUGUGGUAAAUGAAGGCUUUGGUUUCUAA
rnacentral:lncRNA from 1 species